rnacentral:rRNA from 1 species
UACAGAGGGGGCAAGCGUUGUUCGGAAUUACUGGGCGUAAAGGGCGCGUAGGCGGCCCGCUAAGUCGAACGUGAAAUCCCCGAGCUCAACUCGGGAACUGCGUCCGAUACUGGUGGGCUUGAAUCCGGGAGAGGGAUGCGGAAUUCCAGGUGUAGCGGUGAAAUGCGUAGAUAUCGUAAGGAAGACCAGUGGCGAAGGCGGGUCUCUGGACAGUUCCUGACGCUGAGGCACGAAGGUCAGGGGAGCAAACGGG